ensembl:snRNA U6 U6 spliceosomal RNA
GUGCUUGCUGGCAGCACAUAUACUUACAUUAGAACGAUACAGAGAAGACUAGCAUGGCCCACGUGUCAGGAUGACAGGCAAAUUCAUGAAGUGUUUGAUAUUUUU